rnacentral:rRNA from 1 species
GGCUUAACACAUGCAAGUCGAGGGGCAGCAUGGUCUUAGCUUGCUAAGGCCGAUGGCGACCGGCGCACGGGUGAGCAACACGUAUCCAACCUGCCGUCUACUCUUGGACAGCCUUCUGAAAGGAAGAUUAAUACAAGAUGGCAUCAUGAGUCCGCAUGUUCACAUGAUUAAAGGUAUUCCGGUAGACGAUGGGGAUGCGUUCCAUUAGAUAGUAGGCGGGGUAACGGCCCACCUAGUCUUCGAUGGAUAGGGGUUCUGAGAGGAAGGUCCCCCACAUUGGAACUGAGACACGGUCCAAACUCCUACGGGAGGCAGCAGUGAGGAAUAUUGGUCAAUGGGCGCAGGCCUGAACCAGCCAAGUAGCGUGAAGGAUGACUGCCCUAUGGGUUGUAAACUUCUUUUAUAAAGGAAUAAAGUCGGGUAUGUAUACCCGUUUGCAUGUACUUUAUGAAUAAGGAUCGGCUAACUCCGUGCCAGCAGCCGCGGUAAUACGGAGGAUCCGAGCGUUAUCCGGAUUUAUUGGGUUUAAAGGGAGCGUAGAUGGAUGUUUAAGUCAGUUGUGAAAGUUUGCGGCUCAACCGUAAAAUUGCAGUUGAUACUGGAUAUCUUGAGUGCAGUUGAGGCAGGCGGAAUUCGUGGUGUAGCGGUGAAAUGCUUAGAUAUCACGAAGAACUCCGA